rnacentral:rRNA from 1 species
GGCGAGUGAAGCGGCAAAAGCUCAAAUUUGAAAUCCUUCGGGAGUUGUAAUUUGUAGGUUGGGAGACCCCGCGGCUAGUGGCACCAAGUCCCUUGGAACAGGGCGCCUUAGAGGGUGAGAGCCCCGUAGGUACCACAACACCGUCUUGUGUCUCCUCUCCAAAGAGUCGAGUUGUUUGGGAAUGCAGCUCAAAGUGGGUGGUAAAUUCCAUCUAAAGCUAAAUACCGGCGAGAGACCGAUAGCGAACAAGUACAGUGAUGGAAAGAUGAAAAGCACUUUGAAAAGAGAGUGAAACAGUACGUGAAAUUGUUGAAAGGGAAGGGCUUGCAAGCAGACACGGCCUUCGUGCCGGGCCAGCAUCGGUUGCUAGGGGUGGAUAAGGAACAAGGAAUGUAGCUCCUCGGAGUAUUAUAGCCUUGCGCGAUACACCCACUGGCGACCGAGGCCUGCGGUAUUCUUUACCUAGGAUGCUGGCGUAAUGGUUGCAAGCCGCCCGUCUUGA